rnacentral:rRNA from 1 species
UACGUAGGGGGCGAGCGUUGUCCGGAAUUACUGGGCGUAAAGGGAGCGUAGGCGGUCUAUUAAGUUGGAUGUGAAAUACCCGGGCUUAACUUGGGGGGUGCAUCCAAUACUGGCAGACUAGAGUACAGGAGAGGAAAGCGGAAUUCCUAGUGUAGCGGUGAAAUGCAUAGAUAUUAGGAGGAACAUCGGUGGCGAAGGCGGCUUUCUGGACUGACACUGACGCUGAGGCUCGAAAGCGUGGGGAGCAAACAGG